rnacentral:ncRNA from 1 species
CAUACAGGAUUGGUCCCAGCCUUAAAAUCAAUUAUUUCUAGACUUACACAUGCAAGUAUCCGCACACCCGUGAAAACGCCCUUUAACCCACCUAGGGACAAGGAGCUGAUAUCAGGCACUAUCAUUCGCCCAAAACAUCUAGCUAUGCCACACCCCCAAGGGUAAUCAGCAGUGAUUAAAAUUAAAAAUAAACGUCAGUUUGAUUUAGUCAAUGAAAACAGAGCCGGCCAAUCUGGUGCCAGCCGCCGCGGUUACACCAUGAGACUCAAAUUGAUUUUACCCGGCGUAAAGCGUGAUUAAAGAUACACUUACUGGGGUUAAAUUUAAACUAAGCUGUGACACGCUUGUUCCCUAGAAGCCCACCCACGAAAGAUACCCCAACUCACCAACUUGAACUCACGAUAACUAGAACACAAACUGGGAUUAGAUACCCCACUAUGCCUAGUCAUAAACUCUAAUUUACACCCCCCCCCCCCAUCGCCAGGAGACUACGAGCAAAGCUUAAAACCCAAGGGACUUGACGGUACCCCACAUCCCCCUAGAGGAGCCUGUCCUAUAAUCGACACCCCCCGUUAAACCUCACCAUUUUUAGCUUAUCAGCCUGUAUACUUCCGUCGUCAGCUCACCGCAUGAGCGAAAUUUAGUAGGCUUAAUAUUACCGUAAAUACGUCAGGUCAAAGUGCAGCAAAUAAAAUGGCAAGAGAUGGGCUACACUCUCUAAUUUAGAAGAAACGAAAGAUUUUAUGAAAAUAUCACCUAAAGGAGGAUUUAGCAGUAAAAAGGAGAUAGAGAAUUCUUUUUAACUCGGCACUGGGGUGUGUACAUACCGCCCGUCACCCUCUUCAAAAAAUAAAACCCUAGUAUUUAACAACUAUAUUCAACUAGAAGAGGCAAGUCGUAACAUGGUAAGUAUACCGGAAGGUGUGCUUGGAAA